UUUGAUUAGGUGGAAGCUGCAGUCUACAUAGACUUGAUUGAGCCAUCUUAAAGCUGCAGUCUCAAACACCUAACACUAGAUUCACUUCACAUAGUAUCUCCUGACUAUUAAGUUAAAAAGGAGAUGGCAGGUGAGAAGACUAUUGGACACACAUUUGGGGUUAGAGAGAUACAUGUCUUCAGCUGAAGAUCUAUAUGUGAAUUCUAUCACUUGCCUGUAUCCUCUCCCAUCAUUGCCACUGGGCACUCCAGCAGCUCAGAUCUUCCAUUCUCAUUAUUAUUUUACAAAGCCCAGAUGCUAAAAAUGUGAUAAGAUGACUUGGAGACAACUGCAGCCCCAGCCAUCGUCUGACUACAACUACGUGAGACACCCUGACAAAGAACCACCUAACUGGCUCCAGUCAUUCA